AUACGGAGGGUGCAAGCGUUAUUCGGAAUCACUGGGCGUAAAGGACGCGUAGGCGGGUUGACAAGUCAGAUGUGAAAUCCUACAGCUUAACUGUAGAACUGCAUUUGAAACUGCUAACCUAGAGUAUGGGAGGGGGAGAUGGAAUUAGUGGUGUAGGGGUAAAAUCCGUAGAUAUCACUAGGAAUACCGAAAGCGAAGGCGAUCUCCUGGAACAUAACUGACGCUAAGGCGUGAAAGCGUGGGGAGCAAACAGGAUUAGAUACCCUAGUAGUCC
rnacentral:rRNA from 1 species